ensembl:lncRNA
UUUUUUCCACAAGAUUUCUUCAACUUUAUUUUCCAAAGCAAGAGCUGGAUUUUUCAAAUAGUUGAUCAUUAGAUUUUUAAUUUCUAAGAGAUAUUUCUAAUUCUAUUAUUGUCAUUUCUCCAUUGUACCCUGAACUUAUUUUUCAAAUUCAAUACAAAUUACAGCUAAAAAUCAUGUUCUCCUUUUAUUCCUUUAUUAAGCAAAUUUAUUAAGUAAUAAACCAUGCAUCAGACACUGAUCUAUCAAAACAAAGACCCUGCUUUUCACGGAGGUGAAAGUGGUGACAGGUGGGCAAUAAGAACCUACAAAUGAACAUAUUAUAUGUCGGUUUUAAUAAGUGUGAUGAGGGAUCCCCUCCAGCAAAACCUUCUCCCUCUGCUCACCCCACUCCAGCCACAUCACCCUUUCUUCAAUUCCUUCAAGUUCCUUCUCCUUCCUUUUCUAUACACUGUUCUCUCUACUAAAAAUAUCAAAAUAUUCGGAGUUCCCAUCAUGGCUCAGUGGUUAACGAAUCCAAUUAGGAACCAUGAGGUUGCAGGUUCGAUCCCUGACCUUGCUCAGUGGGUUAAGGAUCCGGCGUUGCUGUGAGCUGUGGUGUAGGUUGCAGAAGCGGCUCAGAUCCCACGUUGCUGUGACUCUGGUGUAGGCCGGCGGCUACAGCUCUGAUUCGACCCCUAGCCUGGGAACCUCCAUAUGCCACGGGAGCAGCCCAAGAAAUGGCAAAAAAACAAAGAAAAAAAAAAUCAAAAUAUUCUUCCCCAUCUUCUGAGCACUGUAUCUUAAGUACAUCUCAUCUCAUUGCCCUAUACUACCAUCAGUUUUCUGUCUCAGUACUCUUUUUAUUACCCUCAUAACAUUUAUCAAAACUUACCAUGUUGAUUACCUAUUAUUUAAUAGCCAUUCAAUCUUCUUUGCCAGGUGAACCUGAUUUUGUUAAGGUAUCUCUAGAGUCACGUGCUUCAAAAAAGAUUGACCCUAGCCCCAGGAGGGGUGAAUCCACAUUAGUCUAACCAAAUCAUGAUAAUACAGUACUCUUGCCAGUGAUGGCUUAGGAAAGAAUGCAUGACCCAGUUCUGAUGAGUGGAAUAUAAAACAAAGCCUGCUAGUAAGGCAUCUGGGGAAGGUUUGCUCUUCUAAAGAGACUCAAUAGACUGUCCUCUUCUCAGCUCUGGAACAUUGCUGAACUUAAGAAUAAUGUGAUAUCUUCUGCUGCUCUAGUCAUCUUUCAACCUAGGAGAGCUAAUCCACAGAGAAAGAUUAAAAUAAGCUGACCAUUGAUGAUUUCACCAAGUUACUAAGUUAGUCCUAUCUUCAUGCUUCUUUAUGGUCCUAUGAGUUUUAUUUGGAAAUCUAUUAGAUGAUGAGCCUCAAACACCAAAGAGACAUCAACAUAAGGACUAAUGCAUUAAAUAAUACUUAUUUGGAAAACAAAGAGUAAAUGAGAAAAAAGAAUAUAAUAACAUGGUUAUAUUCUCUGAUGUAAUAAAAUGAUAAAAUACAAUUAGAGGAGAAUUGCAGUAUCAUGUACAAAAAUUUUGUUACUAAUAAAACAGUUUGUUCAACAGUUUUCCACAAUCAUAAUUGAUGGUGGUAGUAUUCACAUUAUUGUCUGAAACAUCAGUACGUAUUAUGUGGAAUAAUGCAGAUAAGAAUUUGAGGAUAUUUAAUUCUAUUAUCUAUUGUGCCUUUGCAAGCCAAGAAAAAGGUGAUAAAAAAUAUAAUGGAGGAGGUAUACAUUUUUUCAGAUUUCCAUCCACUAAAAAGGUCUAGAAACAAUGGCCAACCCAGUCACAGCAAUGAGCCUCCCUAGGUCCAAGUUGUCUUCUUGAACCCCAUCUUUCACUAAAAGAAACCCAGAGAUUCUUAGAGAUAUUGCUUAUUCCAAGAAUGAGAUAGGAAAUAAACAUGAUAAACCUAGAACAUCUUGACCUACCAGAAGGCAAGGAAGUUAUCAAACUACUAGGGCAAUUUCAAAAGGACUCAGGAGCCAACUUGAAGAGGCUAAUACUAAUGACGGGAAAUCUGGGCUUCAAUAAGGAUAAGAGUUAAUAUAGAACCCAUGAGUUCAUAAUACUAUUCUUCAAAUGAUUAUCUUCAGGGGAUGACAGGAAAUCAAUAACUUUUCUUGAAAACUGAUAAAUAAAAAGAAAGGGUAAAGCUUUUAAUUCUUCCUUUCCUAUAUAAACUAUCAUAUUAAUUAUCCAAAUAGUAAAAAAGGAAAGUAUCACUCUAUAAAGUUAUUCCCGCUAAGAAAUGAAACCAAAAUGACAUAAUUAGAAUGUCACUGUUCUUCAACCCCAGUGAAUUAAUGGCAAUGAGCAUCAAUGGGGGCUAACAUCACAAGAAAAAAAAAAAA